GACGAACCACACGAACGUUAUUCGGAAUUACUGGGCUUAAAGGGUGCGUAGGCUGUGCGGAAAGUUAGGUGUGAAAUCCCCCGGCUCAACCGGGGAAUUGCGCUUAAAACUACCGUGCUAGAGGAAUACAGAGGUGAGCGGAACUUCGGGUGGAGCGGUGAAAUGCGUUGAUAUCCGAAGGAACACCGGUGGCGAAAGCGGCUCACUGGGUAUUUUCUGACGCUGAGGCGCGAAAGCCAGGGGAGCAAACGGG
rnacentral:rRNA from 1 species